rnacentral:rRNA from 1 species
AUUGAACGCUGGCGGCAUGCUUUACACAUGCAAGUCGAACGGUAACAGGCCGCAAGGUGCUGACGAGUGGCGAACGGGUGCGUAAUGCAUCGGAACGUGCCCAGUCGUGGGGGAUAACUACUCGCAAGAGUAGCUAAUACCGCAUACGAUCUAUGGAUGAAAGCGGGGGACCGUAAGGCCUCGCGCGAUUGGAGCGGCCGAUGUCAGAUUAGGUAGUUGGUGGGGUAAAGGCUCACCAAGCCAACGAUCUGUAGCUGGUCUGAGAGGACGACCAGCCACACUGGGACUGAGACACGGCCCAGACUCCUACGGGAGGAAGCAGUGGGGAAUUUUGGACAAUGGGCGCAAGCCUGAUCCAGCAAUGCCGCGUGCAGGAAGAAGGCCUUCGGGUUGUAAACUGCUUUUGUACGGAACGAAACGGCUCUGGUUAAUACCCGGGGCUAAUGACGGUACCGUAAGAAUAAGCACCGGCUAACUACGUG